UACGUAGGGUGCAAGCGUUGUCCGGAAUUACUGGGCGUAAAGCGUGCGCAGGCGGUGAUGUAAGACAGGUGUGAAAUCCCCGGGCUUAACCUGGGAACUGCAUUUGUGACUGCAUCGCUGGAGUGCGGCAGAGGGGGAUGGAAUUCCGCGUGUAGCAGUGAAAUGCGUAGAUAUCGUUUGGAACGCCAAUGGUGAAACAGGUUGCUGGGAGUGCGCUGACGCUGAGACACGAAAGCCAGGGGAGCAAACGGG
rnacentral:rRNA from 1 species